CAAUAGCGUAUAUUAAAGUUGUUGCGGUUAAAAGCUCGUAGUUGGAUUUCUGUCGAAGACGGUCGGUCCGCUCUAUGAGCGAGUAUCUGAUUCGGCUUUGGCAUCCUCGUGGGGAACGUAACUGUGCUUGAUUGCAUGGUGCGGAAUUCACGACUUUUACUUUGAGGAAAUUAGAGUGUUCACGGCAGGCAAGCGCCUUGAAUAUAUUAGCAUGGAAUAAUAAUAUAGGACUUUGGUUCUAUUUUGUUGGUUUCUAGGACUAAAGUAAUGAUUAAUAGGGAUAAUUGGGGGCGACUCGUAUUAACACGUCAGAGGUGGAAUUCUUAGAUUGUGUUACGACGAACUACUGCGAAAGCAUUUGUCCAAGGAUGUUUUCAUUGAUCAAGAACGAAAGUGAGGGGAUCGAAGAUGAUCAGAUACCAU
rnacentral:rRNA from 1 species